AAUCAACGCUGGCGGCGUGCCUCAGACAUGCAAGUCGAACGAUUAAAGCUCUCUUCGGAGAGUGUAUAGAGUGGCGCACGGGUGAGUAACACGUAAGUAAUCUACCCUCGAGUGGGGAAUAACAACCGGAAACGGUUGCUAAUACCGCAUAAUGCAGCGGCACCGCAAGGUGACAGUUGUUAAAGAUUUAUCGCUUGAGGAGGAGCUUGCGGCAGAUUAGCUAGUUGUAGGGUAACGGCUUACCAAGGCUACGAUCUGUAACCGGUCUAAGAGGACGGUCGGUCACACUGACACUGAAUAACGGGUCAGACUCCUACGGGAGGCAGCAGUCGGGAAUUUUGGGCAAUGGGCGAAAGCCUGACCCAGCAACGCCGCGUGAAGGAUGAAGUAUUUCGGUAUGUAAACUUCGAAAGAAUAGGAAGAAUUAAUGACGGUACUAUUUAUAA
rnacentral:rRNA from 1 species